ACGAGAACAGAAAUUUGUAUCCAAGGGUGUACUCCAAGUGUGGAAAUGGAUGUAUAGCUCUGGGUUUUGUCAGCUGGUAUAAUCAUUAUCUUAGGGAUGGAAGAAUUCUGUAAUGGUCAACAGAAGAUGAAUGUAAUUCCUUCCAUGUAGAUGGAUAAUGCUCAAAGACGACUCACGUAGGCAUCACUGCUGGAGGUCAAAACAGAGAACAAGAUGAUGGCCCAGUCCAUCUGUUUUAUUCCAUAUAGGCAAGGUAUAACAAGAAAUUUAUUUUUUCUAAUAUCUGUGUAUCGCAUUCAGCAGCUGCUUGUCAACGUUAUGCUCGUUAAUGGAUGAAAAAGAAAGCAAAGACAUAAAAUGCAAUUUUUGUCUUCAACCAAAUCUAACUACUACCAACAUCAAAGGAAGAUUAAUCAUGAAUUUCAAAACAGGACUGAAAAAUGUACCCAGAAUAAUGAUAAAAAUAAAAAAAAACAAAAGCAGCUUCUAGACAGUGAGAGAGCAGGGGAACUGCCCAUAUGAACAGGAAAUGAUAUAAAUAAUUUGAUGCAACUAAAUCUACAUUCGUUGACACUCAAGAUCAACACUAACUGCUGGCUUCGUGCUAUCCAUUGCUGCUGGCACUGAACAUCACAGAAAGAUAUAGCCUGUUUUUUUCCUCACCUCAGAAGAGCAAUCAAUCCCUAUUCAAUCUACAGAAAAUGACAGAGGAAAAAAAAAAAGCAAUAACCAAUUUUCUUCAUAGCACUCUGCAAAGAGGACCAAAAGAGCCCCAGGACAGUAUUAUUUCUGUGGGCUUCAAAAGAGAAAAGUGAGAUGAUCCUUAUAAUGCUCACAAUUUAUUUCCUUUGUUUUUAAAAAACAAAAAACAAAAUAAAUUGGA
rnacentral:lncRNA from 7 species